rnacentral:lncRNA from 1 species
UACCAAUACUCUCUGCCUCCAAGGUUUUCCCCAAAUUUUUUCAUUCCCUCUCUUAAAUUUUGCCUGUCUUCCUCAAUUUCUUUGCCUCCAAAAAUUUUAUCCCUAAAAUUAUUCAUUCCCUCCAUUUGUUGCAUAUGUUUAGUUGGCCCAAACCUAAUUGAAACUCUUCAAUUGAAGCGAAUUUGGGCUUCAUCUGCAAUUCGAAUUCUAAGAUUUUUGGCUUCUGCUAUAGAUCGAUUGCUGUGAAAUGUUGCUUUAUCCACAAAUCAAUUUCUUUGAUAUUGUCUUCCAGGUAUGCCCAUUCCAAGAUUAUAUAUUUAUAGAGUUUUACUACUACCUGUAAUUUCUUCGUACGAAUUGCUGCUGAAUCCGUUAGUAAAUGUGUUGUUCUAAAAUUUAAAGUAGAUGUUGGAGUCUCUAGGGUUUUAGAUGUGGUGGAAAAGUGUCAAGAUUACUCCAUCUCCAUGCUCCUUGCCAGACUUUUAUUAUGUCAAAAUAUAGUAGUAGUGGCGGCAGAGCAAUGCCCCUAUGAAUGUUUAUUGAGAAAUUUAAGCUAGAUGUUGGAUGCAUUCUUUUGUGAUCUUUCUCCAUGUUUCUUGCUAGACUUUUAGUAAUCCAAGCAUGGCGACCGAGAUGGACAUGUAGGCCAUGAGGAUAUUUAUUCUCCGCUCAUCACCUAAAAAUCUUAGGGCAAGAUAUAGGAAAGGUCGUCCCGCUUGCCUCGUUUUCUGGAGUUAUUGACUUCAUUGUUAUGUAUCAUAGCCGAAUUAGAAGAGGGCUUGCAAAGAUUUAGUUCUAUUAGGAUGUAUCCUUAUUUUGUCUUUCUAUUAUGGAUCAAUCAAGAUAAUAAUCAAGUUGCUCUAGAUUGUUUCCAAGCGCUAUUCUCGACACUUCGGAAGCUUUUAUGUUAUCUAUGUGCUCAUCUCUAGACGAGAUUUCUUCACCAGAAGAUCUCUUUUCUGUUAAUUUGACCUUAUGCAAGUUUAUAGAUCUCGAUUCAUCAUUUCUUACAACUAGCAACAAUAUCUAUCAUAGAAUCGAAACACUAGUAGAAUGAGAAAAUGCAAUAAAAAAUUUGCACCUUCAAUCUAGAUUUGCAAGAAGUCAUACUUGUAGUUUCACACAUCCCAUUACAUUAUGCUUUUUGGUAAAAUAAGUAAUUUAAGAUUCGAACAAGCACUUGAAUGAUAUAAAACCCACCCAAGACUUGUCCUCUAUAUUCCAAAAUUAGUCAUGGCAGAACUUGAAGCUUCCCAUAUUUUCUGGAGUUCUUGAAAUUUCAUUUACUUGUUGAAUGUCGAGAAUUCCAGGCCGGGGCUAUUUUUGUGUACUUCUUUAGUGUUUCAGGCAAGCAGGAUUUCAGGCAAGCCGCUGUGAUACAGGAAAGGGCUAUGAUAUAAAUUUACUGUGAUUUUGUAGUUCAUUCCAUUUAUAUAUAUCAUCGUCUUACUAUGAAGUCAUAACAAUCAGCAUUAUCACACUUCUCAAAAAUUACUCCUCAUCUGUUGGGUCAAAAAGGAAGAUGAAAAUCUCAUAAUUGUUCUUGAUGAGUAUGGACAUAAUUGUUCUUGAAAAUCUCAUAAUUCUUCUCAAAAAUUACUCCUUAUCAGUUAAGCUAAUCCUUCGUUGUUUGCAAUUCUAGCAUUUUACACUAGGGAAUUUCCAGACUAAUUUGAAUACAUGUGGAACAUUCAUGUCUGGAAUUCUGAUGCCAUGUUUCUUCUAUUUUUUGUUGAUGUAUUUCUUGAACCGUUUACCGUCUGUUGCCUAUAUAUGACAUCCCCUCUUGAAAUUUUUCAUCCACCUCCAUGUUGUGUGUUGUAAGAGAUGCAACAAAAGGUUGUCAUUUUUUGAUAGAAUUUCUAUACCAAUGUUAUUACAAGUAAGCAUGUGGUUAACAUCAGUUUCUCAUCAAAGUUAAUAUAAAUCCCGAGAUAAAAAAUUCCAAAACCAUGUUUGCUGUCAUUUUUAGUAAGAGCGAAAAUUGUGUGAAUCUUAAUUUUUUUGUAGAAAGGUAGUUUUGUCCCUAAGUAGAUAAGUUUAGGUGAUUUAUAUCUAUUACACUUUAACCCUUUUUUUUUUAAGGCUACCACUUUUAAUCAUUCACUGGCUUCUGAGAAAGAUUUUUUUUUUUUUUUUUAAUUAUGUUUCUUGCAUAUUGUUUCUUACAUUUUGUUUCUAAAUAUGUCGUGUUAAUGGUAAAAAUUAUUGUUUUUCAUAUAUUGAAUCGUUAAUAAUGAAAAAUUAUAUUCUCAUAUUUAGUUUUGACCUAAUCUUUUACUAAAUUUAUAGUCGGUUGAAUAAAAUGUUUUGAUUAUUACAUUAAAACAUUUUGUAGGGGCCAUACAAAGAGUUUUGGAUAAAAGAGCAUCCUUCAAUUCAAAUUGCAACAAGGUAAGUUCGUAAAUCCAAGUACCCCAUCAUCAAGUUGUUUUACAGUGUGUGUUUAUAUUCUCAUAAUCAAGUGAUUUAUUUGGGUUGGUGCUUCGAUGUCUCUAUGUGUUUAUGUAUAUGAGGAUAUAAAUAGCAUUUCAUAGUAAAUGGUGUCAUUUAUUGGAUUUAAUGUAACUACAUCAUAAAUGGACGAGACUGGAACUUGUAUGUGCAAAAGAGAGUGUACUACAUGCAUCUUUUAGCCUAGUUAAUUGAAAAAAUCUAUUAAUUUUAUAAUUGAACUUUUACGUUGCAUUUUUUUUCUUAUUAGGAUGGUUCGAAGUGUCCGGAAGUCGACACAUUUGAGUUCGCUUAUGCUAGGAAGAACAAGUAUUGGACUUGUAAUGCAG